rnacentral:rRNA from 1 species
AGCAGCCGCGGUAAUUCCAGCUCCAAUAGCGUAUAUUAAAGUUGUUGCAGUUAAAAAGCUCGUAGUUGAAUUUCGGGAUCAAUACGUCGGUCGUGCUUCGGUACGUACUGGCGUCAUUGAUUUCUCCCUUCUGACGAACCAUGAUGUCAUUAACUUGGUGUCAUGGGAAAUCAGGACUGUUACUCUGAAAAAUUAGAGUGUUUAAAGCAGGCUAACGCUUGAAUACAUUAGCAUGGAAUAAUGAAAUAGGACGUUCGAUCCUAUCUUGUUGGUUUCUAGGAUUGACGUAAUGAUUAAUAGGGAUAGUUGGGGCAUUAGUAUUCAAUUGUCAGAGGUGAAAUUCUUGGAUUUAUUGAAGACUAAACUACUUGCGAAAGCAUUUGCCAAGGA